AACACACCCCGAGACUGUCAUGGAGGGGGAGGAGGAGGCGGCGGCGGCGAAAGGAGGCGUUUUGGGCCGCCUCCAGGGUCCGCUCUGUCAUUCCUGAACUGGUCCCUCGUCCCCGUGACUGUGGCAUCAGGGAAGCGAACUGUUAGGCGAGAGGAGGAGACAGUCAGAACCAUAUCGCCUUCUUCCCCCAGGGCGGGGGCCGGGCCGGGCCAGGCCGGCUGAGCCGGGGGAGGGCAGGGGGAGGGAGCGCCUGGCCAGGCCGGCCUGUCCGCCGAGAUGGAUGACAGUGAGGUGGUUGGAGGCAAAGUAAAGAAACCUGGCAAAUGUGGUCGGAAGCCAGCCAAAGUUGACUUGAAGGCAAAACUUGAGAGGAGCCAGCAGAGUGCAAGAGAAUGCCGAGCUAGGAAAAAACUAAGAUAUCAGUAUUUGGAAGAGUUGGUAUCCAGUCGGGAAAGAGCCAUAUGUGCCCUCAGAGAGGAACUGGAAAUGUACAUACAAGCAGUGGUGCAUGGCAAUGGACCAAGGAAAAAUCCCUUCUGAAAUCAAGGCCCUACUCACUGGAGAAGAGCAGAGCAAAUCUCAGCAGAACUGAAGCAGGUACACAAAAGCUGGGAAGACAGAUGCUAAUAGCAAUUCCUGGUGAAGAUUAUAUAAAAUGACGAGUCACUGAUUGAAGUCAAUAUUCUGAUUCCUAUGGAGGAUGAAAGGGCAAGAUUGUACUUCUUGGCUCCAUUUACAACCUACUGCUCAGUAGUCAUCUCUGUAAAUCUGCAAUUUCUACCAAAAUCCCAAAGGAUUUUGCUUUAACUUUCAACACUUAGAGAAUUUAUAAACAUUCAGAUCUGUUCUGGUUGGCCUUGCCACCCAUGGCAUCGAACAUGUUGCAAUGCUUGAAAACACAGGAGUAGAGAGAAGUGGGUGAAGAUUGUAUUUUUGCACCUUAACUCCACAUUGCUUUAUUGGUUAAUUUAUAUUCUUUCCAUGUAUUUCAUGUCAUUGUAUGUGUAUGUGUGUUUAGGUGUCACCUAUGUUUUUGAUUGCCCUACAAAGAGAAACCAAAUGGGCUGAUAACCAAGUUCUCAGCCUUAAUGGACCUAAUUUUAUUUGUUUAUAUUUACUUGAGUAAUGUUUAUUUUCUGCAUGAACCAUGAUUUCUCCUGUGAGCCAUUCCAGCAUAAGCUGUGAAUAUGUAUUAACAAAUAUAUACAUUUCUAUUUUUAUAAUCCAUAAUGAUAUGCCUGUUUUAAAUAAUGUACGUGUUAACAAAAUCCAUUAGGAAAGCCCUCAAGACAGCCUCUAUUUAAAACUUUUGUUGCUGUCUUCUCAAACUAUAUUUAUAAAAGUUUGCUAGGGCCUAGUCCAUACUUGGAAAAUAAUUAGUCAAAUUUUAUUUUUAAGCAGGAAGUAACCUUUUAGGCAUUUCUGCAGCGUACAUCAUCUUGACAACCUAGAGUGUUGUAUGUAUGUAUGUAUGUAUGUUUGUAUGUAUGUAUGUGUUUGUAUCGUAUGUCUGUAUAUGUAUGUGGGGAGGGUAGGAGUGAAUGUUCACACACAUUGCCUUGUGUAGUCAACUAACUUGGAGAAUUUUUCUAAAGAAAAUAGGAUGAAAUUAGCUGCUGAGAUCGAGUUUCUGCCUCAAGAGAUCUGGAACAAAACGAGGGAGAAAUUGCUAGUAGAUCUAAUGGCUGUAGGUAUAACCAGAACACUUAGUUUCUUCCCUGACAUGAGUUUCCGUAUGAAUGUGUUCUGAGCCAGGAAGAAACACACUGUGGGUGUGCCUCUGGUUCAGCCCUGACGGCGCCUCCGCUCUGGAGCGAAGCACUGAGCCGGCGUUGUGCACGGCUCGGCGGCUGGCAGGCCGGGCAGGAGGUGCACAAGGCCAGGGUUUCCAGUUCCCAUCAUAGCUACAUUUACUUUCUUCCUGACUACCAAACACAGUGAUGGUUGAGGAAUCAAGCUCAUCAUAUUCUACGUGCAGACUAGGAAUCUUUCACUUUCCCCACUGAGACACUUUAUCACUCUCUUUUUUCUUUCCCAUCGUUAAAUCAGGAGUUGUGUUCUCUGUUGCUGCUAAAUUAUAAUUGUUCUUAGCUCUAAUGAAGCAAAUUUUUGGCUUCUAAACAGUAUGUUUUGUUAUGAAGUGGCAGUUUAAGAGGAGGCAUCAUAGUCUAGAUUGUGAGAUGGAACAAGAGAUGGACCACAUAGUUUCAGAUUACAAGGUACUCUCCCCCCUUCUCUUAGGCCACACGUUUGAAUAAAGUGCUUCCCUUUAGCCUGAGUUCCUGAAGAUCUCUUGUGUGUAGGUUGCAAACUCAGAUCUAGUCUAGUCCUGUGUGACUACUGAUAGACCACUAGCCCCGCCUGUUGGGUCUCUCUGUGUUUUGGAGGACUGGGGAUUUAAGAGUAUUUAAUGUCUUUUUAGGAUCACAAAUAUAGAUAGAUUAAAGAUUGUUAAUAUACUGACCUUCAGAAUUUAAGUGUUUUAAAUAUAGUGUUCAGAUUAUAAUGGGUAUGUUUUUGCCAUCUGGUCUACUCAAAUGUAUAUUUUUAUUUUGCAAAACAACCCAAGAUUUACUCUGUGUUGCUUUGUUCAUUACCUUUUGAAUUCCCCAGAAGAGUUGUUUUCAAAGCAAACAUUCCAAAAUGAAUGUGGCUCUUCAAUGGAAUGUCUCCAUUGUGCUUGAAGUAUUUCUUCUCUGGUUGUAACUUUAAAUUACAGGGUCAUUUGAGCAACCCUCCACCCCCACCCCCACCCCCAGUAUCUUUACAAGAGCAGUGACUUUGUCCUCAGGUAGAGGAUGUGUGAUUUUGGAUGAAAGUAAAUUACAACUUACUGAGUUUAUUCCUAAACUGAUCUUUUUGGUAUUUUAAAGUAGAUCAUACCAAGAGAAAGUUCCUUGGUCUUAAAAAGGAAUGUUUUGAUUGCU